rnacentral:rRNA from 1 species
AAAGGCAGGAGUAGAGAUCUUGUGCAAUCAACGAAAGUAUGACACAGAGAGGACACAUUUAAUUAAGCCCGUCAAAUUAAGUGCCAGCCGACGCGGUUAAACUUAAGGGCUGGUCUUUAUAAGUAAAAAGGCGUAAAGGAUGUGUAGGCCAAGAAACAAUUAAAGUAGGUAAAUGGAAUUUUUCUGGAGCGGUAGAAUGCGAGGAUAGAAAAUAGAACCCCUAAGGUAAAAACUAUUUACCACAAGGUAGGCUGAAACAUGAAAGUGUGGGGAGCAAACAGGAUUAGAGACCCUGGUAGUCCACACUGUAAACUUUGAAGAUGAUGCUUAGCAGACCCGAAAGGUAAAAUCUUCCGCCUGAGUAGUACGAUCGCAAGAUUAAAAUUCAAAAACUUUGGCUGUUCACUAUUUCGAUUAGAGGAGCGUGUAGUUUAAUUCGAUGGUCCGCGUGUUACCUUACCCCAACUUGAAUCUGUGACCGGUAUUGCAUGGCCGUCGUAAGUUCGUGUAUUAAGCUAAAAGGGACCCAACCCGGGCAUUUGCCCGGAGGAAGUCAGGUCUUAUGAUCCGAAUGUUGGGGGAUUUUAUGCGCUACAUUUUCUUAUAUAAUGGGAAACCUGAAAGGUGAGCCUCUAAAGUAAGAGUUCGGAAGGUCGCUGUAAGACGACUGGAAGUUGGAUUUAAUAGUAAUCGGAAAGUAGGGCGUUCCGGUGAAUUGGUACAAGUGUUAGCACAAAUUGCCCGUCACCUUUACCUAGAAUGGUUAUUCGGACGUCUUCGGUGAUUACGAAUGCCUACGAGGUAAAGCAAGUCGUAACAUAGUA